rnacentral:rRNA from 1 species
AAUGAACGUUGGCGGCGUGGAUUAGGCAUGCAAGUCGAGCGAGAACCCGCAAGGGGGACAGCGGCAAACGGGGUAGUAAUGUGUCGGAACGUGCCCUCUGGACGGGGAUAGCGGCGGGAAACUGCCGGUAAUACCCGAUGAACUCGAGAGAGCAAAGGUGUGAUUCCGCCGGAGGAGCGGCCGACAUGGUAUUAGCUAGUUGGCGGGGUAACGGCCCACCAAGGCUGUGAUGCCUAGGGGAUGUGAGAGCAUGAUCCCCACCAUUGGGACUGAGACACUGCCCAGACACCUACGGGUGGCUGCAGUCGAGAAUCUUCGUCAAUGGGCGAAAGCCUGAACGAGCGACGCCGCGUGCGGGAUGAAGGCCCUUGGGUUGUAAACCGCUGUCGAGGGGGAUGAAGGCUUGAAGGUACUCCUUCAAGUUUGACAGAGCCCUGGAGGAAGCACGGGCUAAGUUCGUG